rnacentral:lncRNA from 1 species
UUGACUUCAGUAAGCUUGAAUUAAGAAACAAACAAACUGUUGAACUCCAGUACUCUUCUACUGAAGUUGAAGCUUAUCAGCAGAGGCUAUCAAAUCUCUCCAAGUUAUGCCACAAUCCUGUUUACAUCGACGACGAGUUAGUUGAGCUUUAUCUGGAGGUAGUGAUAGAUUUUUGAACUUAAGUACCUUUCAAAUGGUAUGUAGCAUUUGAUAAUCACUGAACAUUUUAGUGCUAGCCGCUAUACUGCACAUGAAUUUUGUAAGAACAAACUAAAAAUAUAUUGGCAGGUAGGACAGUGAAUCUCCAGAAAUAAUUAGGCAUCACAUAGCAAAUUUAGCAUUUUUUCGAAUAAAAAAAGUUGCGCACUGUUAGCUUUAGCCGCAAGCUUUGAAGUAACCGUCACAGAUUUCUUUCUCAAAAUACAUAAUAGGAAAACAAAAUUUAUCGCUGCAUAUUUCUUAUGAUCUUUGUUAAUCAAACACAUCUUACUUCACAGCUUUUAUGUCAGUAUGAGCGAAGGUCAGUUCUGAAGUUUCUGGAGACUUUUGACAGUUACAGAUUGGAACGGUGCUUGCAUCUUUGCCUAGAUUAUGGAGUUACAGAUGCUGCUGCUUUCUUGCAAGAGAGGGUUGGUGAUGUUGGGAGUGCCCUUGACCUUAUUCUGGCUGGACUUGAUGAGAAAAUUAGCUUAUUUAUCUCUUCUGUGGAAAGUACUUUCUCUGGCGUCGCAUCAAAAAGUAUCGCUGAAAUUAAGCAACCAGACAUCGUUCUAGAAAUGAGUGAGGUUUAUUUCUCACACAUUUGAAUUCUUGUCUAGGUUUUUAACUUCUCCUGUGCAGGUAUUAACAUUUUCAACCUAUUUGUUUAAGGCUCAUCCAGUGCUUGAUGCAUUGCAUGCCUCCAUUGGAUUGUGCCAAAGGAAUUCACAGCGCUUGGACCCAGAGGAAUCUCAGUCCCUUUGGUUCCAACUCCUUGACUCGUAAGUUAUGCUUUAAUACAUUAAUAUUUAAGUUAGCAUUAUAGUGUUUCAAAAAAAAAUCUGUGCGAUGAAUAUAUUGCACAGUUUCUGGUCAGUCAUUGUUGCUACAUAUGACCAUAGCUAGCUGAGUUGAUCGAGGGUGUGAAUGUAUGCUUAGAUCAUCCAGGCUCACGUCCUUGUCGAGGGGAAUUUGGGUGUCUAUUUUUCUUAUUAAAAAAACCCGAUCGGGGGGUGUUAAGACAGCCCCAGAACAUUGCAUUAAGAAGAUCUUACGCAGGUUGACCCCUUUCCAUCCAUACACAGCAGCACUAUAGCCCACGUGAGAACGACAAACUGGUUCCUCCUAGCUCUAGUUUUUUUAAUAUAGAAAACACCAAUGUGUCCCUGUUCUUAAAAAUGGCAUAUGGAGUGCUUAUGGGCAGAGUGCUAGCAUAUAUAAUUAAUGCCUUAUCUAUGGUUGUUAACUUUUUAUAAAAAGUCAAGCAAUAAACCAAUAACAGAAUUAUUUUGUCAGGAAAUUAUUCAAUAGCGCAUCUAGAAAGACAAUGCGAGCCUAUUGCUGUAAGCCUGUGAUAAUUUGGGGGAAGUUUUUUCCAAACUGUUCUCAAUUUUUGUCAUGCUCAUAGUUUGCUGAAGACAUAUUUAAGGGGUGUUUGUUUGAGAUUAUAAUAUGUCCAGAUUAUAUAAUCUAAUAAAUUUUGAACUAACACUUUCUUCAAAAUUUAUUGGAUUAUAUAAUCUGGACAGAUUAUAAUCCCAAACAAACACCCCAUUAUAUAUUUAUAUUUUGUACUGAUGUAUACUAGUACUUCUUCCAAAUUGUUGGGUUAUUAAUUCAGCUUCUCAGAGCCAUUAAAAAAACUGUAUGGGAUCAAGGAUGUAAAUGGAAAAGGUGUCAAGUCCAAUUGGAGUGAAGCAUCAAUGGAACAUCUGAAGGAAAAAGGACUAUCUCAACAAAUGAGGAUUUCAACUAAACAAAAGUGCCUAAAUGUUCUGCGAAAAGUAUUUUCACAAUGUGUUGGAGAAAUAAUAGAGGCCAUGGCUGGGUAUAUUCCCCUACCGGCAAUCAUGGCAAAACUGUUAUCUGAUAAUGGGAAUCAAGAGUUCGGUGAUUUCAAACUUGUGAUACACAGAAUGUUAUCUAUGUAUCUUUACGAAAAAAGAAUACUGGUAUGACUCAUUUGUCUAUUACUUGUAGGUGAAGGCUGUAAUUACAUAUUCCGUUUACUGCUUUGUGUGGAACAUUGUAGAAGAUCAUUGGUAAAUUUUGAAUCAUAUGACACUCAUUGCAAUAGAGCAAAGGUUUGAAACAGCCGCUCUGUAUGGUCCAUGUUGGCUGCGUUAGCCUGUAUCCUCAUCCUGAAUAGUAUUCUUGUGACUUCGUUAGUAACUCAGGGACCAAGUAUGAGACCAGUUCAUUAAUGCGCCCUUGAAUUUUGUUAUUUAAUAAUGCUACUCCCUUGUAAUGCCCUAAACUAGAUACAUUCGUCCAUGACCUGAUCUAUGUUCUUGUAUUGACUCCUGGAAUUGAUUGUUUUGUUUUGCUCAUUUAAAUCUACCUCGUGAUUCAAGUGUUGAGCUCUCUACCUAGCAUGUACCAAUUGACUUAAGGCCAAAUGAAAAAUAUCUCUGCUUUUAGUUUCUGGCAAUCUCCCAUUAUUUUUCUGAUAAAGAAUAGUUCUUAGCUUCUCUGCUCUGAUACCUAAUUCACCUAUUUGUAGGAAACGGCUAAGUCAGUAAUUGAGGAUGACUCAUUUUACACCUUGAGCUUAUUAAAGAGAGGAGUUUGUCAUGGGUUUGCCCCACAGACUUUCGUAUGCUGCAUAUGCAACUGUUCACUUUCUAAAGAAGGUGCUAUUUCAGCCGUACGUUUGUUCAGUUGCGGGCAUGCAACACAUCUUCAGUGUGAGUCUGAGCAGACCAGGUCAUCCAAUCAGGAAUCCAAAGAGGGAUGCCCUGUUUGUCUCUCAAUGAGUGAUACGCAAGCUCGAAGCAAAUCACCUAUGUUUGAGAAUGGGCUAAUGAAGUAUUCUGGGGCUGAACAUGAAGUGUCACAUGGCAUGUAUCAGAUUCAUGAAGUUGAUCAUGCUGAGAGAUCUCGUGGGCUUCAACAGAUGUCACGGGUAUGACUAUUAUCAGAUGGUCUUACCUUUUUUUUAGGUUGUAUAAUAAAUCUUGCAACUAAAACUGGAUGCCUUUCUGACAAGUGAAAAGUGAAACUGUACCUAGUUUUAAUCUUCAAUCGUGUCUCUUCUAAUCGGUAUGUGAUAUGUGCAUAACAUUUAUUUUUGCAGUAUGAAAUACUGAAUAAUCUUCAGAAAGCGCAGAAGUCCUUUCAUAUAGAAACCGUACCUCCAUUGAAACUUGCACCGCCAGCUAUAUACCAUGAGAAGAUACAGAAGAGGACCACUUCGGUUGGUGAAACUAGCAAACAUUCUGUUAGAAGUCAGAAACCCCAGAAAAU